rnacentral:rRNA from 1 species
AACCCGGUGAUCUAGCCAUGGGCAGGUUGAAGGUUGGGUAACACUAACUGGAGGACCGAACCGACUAAUGUUGAAAAAUUAGCGGAUGACUUGUGGCUGGGGGUGAAAGGCCAAUCAAACCGGGAGAUAGCUGGUUCUCCCCGAAAGCUAUUUAGGUAGCGCCUCGUGAAUUCAUCUCCGGGGGUAGAGCACUGUUUCGGCAAGGGGGUCAUCCCGACUUACCAACCCGAUGCAAACUGCGAAUACCGGAGAAUGUUAUCACGGGAGACACACGGCGGGUGCUAACGUCCGUCGUGAAGAGGGAAACAACCCAGACCGCCAGCUAAGGUCCCAAAGUCAUGGUUAAGUGGGAAACGAUGUGGGAAGGCCCAGACAGCCAGGAUGUUGGCUUAGAAGCAGCCAUCAUUUAAAGAAAGCGUAAUAGCUCACUGGUCGAGUCGGCCUGCGCGGAAGAUGUAACGGGGCUAAACCAUGCACCGAAGCUGCGGCAGCGACACUAUGUGUUGUUGGGUAGGGGAGCGUUCUGUAAGCCUGUGAAGGUGUACUGUGAGGUAUGCUGGAGGUAUCAGAAGUGCGAAUGCUGACAUAAGUAACGAUAAAGCGGGUGAAAAGCCCGCUCGCCGGAAGACCAAGGGUUCCUGUCCAACGUUAAUCGGGGCAGGGUGAGUCGACCCCUAAGGCGAGGCCGAAAGGCGUAGUCGAUGGGAAACAGGUUAAUAUUCCUGUACUUGGUGUUACUGCGAAGGGGGGACGGAGAAGGCUAUGUUGGCCGGGCGACGGUUGUCCCGGUUUAAGCGUGUAGGCUGGUUUUCCAGGCAAAUCCGGAAAAUCAAGGCUGAGGCGUGAUGACGAGGCACUACGGUGCUGAAGCAACAAAUGCCCUGCUUCCAGGAAAAGCCUCUAAGCAUCAGGUAACAUCAAAUCGUACCCCAAACCGACACAGGUGGUCAGGUAGAGAAUACCAAGGCGCUUGAGAGAACUCGGGUGAAGGAACUAGGCAAAAUGGUGCCGUAACUUCGGGAGAAGGCACGCUGAUAUGUAGGUGAAGCGACUUGCUCGUGGAGCUGAAAUCAGUCGAAGAUACCAGCUGGCUGCAACUGUUUAUUAAAAACACAGCACUGUGCAAACACGAAAGUGGACGUAUACGGUGUGACGCCUGCCCGGUGCCGGAAGGUUAAUUGAUGGGGUCAGCGCAAGCGAAGCUCUUGAUCGAAGCCCCGGUAAACGGCGGCCGUAACUAUAACGGUCCUAAGGUAGCGAAAUUCCUUGUCGGGUAAGUUCCGACCUGCACGAAUGGCGUAAUGAUGGCCAGGCUGUCUCCACCCGAGACUCAGUGAAAUUGAACUCGCUGUGAAGAUGCAGUGUACCCGCGGCAAGACGGAAAGACCCCGUGAACCUUUACUAUAGCUUGACACUGAACAUUGAGCCUUGAUGUGUAGGAUAGGUGGGAGGCUUUGAAGUGUGGACGCCAGUCUGCAUGGAGCCGACCUUGAAAUACCACCCUUUAAUGUUUGAUGUUCUAACGUUGACCCGUAAUCCGGGUUGCGGACAGUGUCUGGUGGGUAGUUUGACUGGGGCGGUCUCCUCCUAAAGAGUAACGGAGGAGCACGAAGGUUGGCUAAUCCUGGUCGGACAUCAGGAGGUUAGUGCAAUGGCAUAAGCCAGCUUGACUGCGAGCGUGACGGCGCGAGCAGGUGCGAAAGCAGGUCAUAGUGAUCCGGUGGUUCUGAAUGGAAGGGCCAUCGCUCAACGGAUAAAAGGUACUCCGGGGAUAACAGGCUGAUACCGCCCAAGAGUUCAUAUCGACGGCGGUGUUUGGCACCUCGAUGUCGGCUCAUCACAUCCUGGGGCUGAAGUAGGUCCCAAGGGUAUGGCUGUUCGCCAUUUAAAGUGGUACGCGAGCUGGGUUUAGAACGUCGUGAGACAGUUCGGUCCCUAUCUGCCGUGGGCGCUGGAGAACUGAGGGGGGCUGCUCCUAGUACGAGAGGACCGGAGUGGACGCAUCACUGGUGUUCGGGUUGUCAUGCCAAUGGCACUGCCCGGUAGCUAAAUGCGGAAGAGAUAAGUGCUGAAAGCAUCUAAGCACGAAACUUGCCCCGAGAUGAGUUCUCCCUGACUCCUUGAGAGUCCUGAAGGAACGUUGAAGACGACGACGUUGAU